rnacentral:antisense_RNA from 1 species
AAAUCAGCAUGAUUAAACCCGGUACAGAGGCUGCAAGUGCCCAUCCACCCCAACUUAAAUGGAUGCCCAUAAUGUCACUCAUCAUGGCAAGGGCGAGUGCAUUUGGCGCCAUUGCGGUCAAGAACAUAUAGCUGGUGGUUUUAGUCACCAUAUAAACGUUGACGAGGAGAUAAUGGCCUGCUUUACGUGGACUUUUUUCUGGAUCAGACCCUAAAGCAACGGCGACA